rnacentral:lncRNA from 1 species
UUUUUUCUCCUCCACAUUUAAUCCACUUUAUACAGGAGAAUUUAUUGAAAAGUCUAUCUUUUACCCAUUGAAUUGCACUGUUACUUUGUCAUAAACUUGGGGACUGUGUAUCUGUCUCUAUAUCUACUGUGUGUCUGUUUUUAAACUCCCUAUUCAAGUCAUUGGUCUCAUUGUCUGUCUUUGAACUAGGAUCCUAUGGCACUCACUGCUGGUGGGGCAGUAAAAUAAUUUUGCAGUGUAAUUAAUACAGAGGGCUUUUCUCCAAGGUAAUUUUAAUGUCUCAGAAAGACCGCUGGCAAGUCUGUCUUUGGCACUGGCUUAUAGGUUCCCAUCUCUACACGAAGACCAUUUCCUGUAGAGAGAUGGUUCUGAAAUACACUGCUGAGCUCCUGCUUCAGGGGUUGAAACUUAAUAGCUGCCUUGUUAGGCCCAUUGCCAGCCUCUUGCACCAAGCUGGCCUAGGGACCUUUCCGGAGUAAGCAGUAUUUUCUAACACCCUUUGCCUCUUCCUCCUCUGCAUGCAGGUGGGGCAAGGUAGGACGUCAUUGGCCGAUCAGAGAUCUGGGUGCCUGCAUAGGGCAAGCCAGCAAGAAUGAAGGACUGGCAUGAAUGCAGCGCUGGUAAAUGGCAGGAGUAUGAGUCACCCAGAUGACUACUGGAAUAUAUAGAGUGGACGAGGCUUGGGACUAAGGUGCUGGCCGUUUCCUUCCACAUAAUUACCUUCAUGUGCAGAUCCAAGCCCAGCUGCCACAUAGCAGGUUCAGCUCUCUGUGUGGAGAUAUACUUGGUUCUCACUGGGAAAGUGUGCUGAGCUCCGGCUUGCUGCCUCACAUUCUGCAUCCUUUUCUGCCACACCUUCCACAUUUCACACAAAACUGGUGUUAUUGUAAGAGUCCUUCCCUGGCCUCUCAGUGAUGGUUUUGACCAUCAUCAUACCUUGAAGUUUGAGAGUGUAGAAGUUAUUGUUUCAGGACUCAGAGACUUUUGAGGACAUGGCAGUGCAAGUCACCUAGAAGGAAUGGGCCAGCUUGAAGUCCACCAGGAAGGCCUUGUACACGGAAGUGAUGAUGGAGAACUGCAGGGCCAUGGCUUCCCUGGGUAAGGCCUCUCUGCUACCCAUCUCUGCCUGGGCCCUCAGAGAUGGAAGGACUCCUUUGUUUACCAGAUGACCUCAAAUGGCAGUGUCAGAGGUUGGCAGGUAUGGAAAGCUCUGGGGUCUGUUGACUUCCAAAGUGUGUUCCUUCUUUUUUUUAAUCAUAAAAGUUACCUUCCUUCCCUACUUGCCUUAGAAGUGAUUCUCUGGGUCCAGCAGGGCUUGAGAUAUAUCGUGGUACCCUUACCCUGGUAUUGAAUUUCCACAUUGUCUUGAGAAAGCCAGUCCCUCUGUCUCCUUUGAGAGUUGCUCUUAGGAACCAUGAAUCUGUUUCCCACAAUGGGAGUUUAACAUUCUCUAACAAAGUAAGAAGACUUGUUUCCAGGUAAGGAGGAAUCUGCCUCCCGACAUGUUUCAGGUUCCUAGGGAGCACCCUUUGAGGCUUAUUCCCAGCAUCCCUUCCUGAGACUGUAGGGAACCUUCUGCACAGCCCAUCCAGGAAUUACCUACCGUCCCUGCCGCCCCUGCUGGUCCCUGCAGUCUCAGGAUGAAGUUGACCCUGUGACUUUGUUGAUCAUCGGGUUUCAUUUUCUUCUCUUCAAGCAGCAGCAUCUGUUGAGAGACCAGCUCUGAACUUUCAGCUGGAGCAAGAGAGGGAAGCCCUAAUCAGGGGCGGCUGGGAUCCAGGCCUUGCAGAUUACAUCUUAAAACUAAGAAGAUAUACUUACCUAGCUUACAGAUACUUUAUCCAAUAAGAUAUAAAGAUUUCUGGAAAUCCUCAGUGCUGGGAAGACAGGACACAAGCUUAAUUCUUGACUUUUACCAGUUUUCAAUUGCAUGUUCAUUAAAGUUGCUCAUUUUGAUGUACAGAGCAGGCUCCCUUGUCCUUUUUUACACGGCUUUAUAGAGAUAUAAUUCACAAAC